rnacentral:rRNA from 1 species
AGCGAACGCUGGCGGCAGGCCUAACACAUGCAAGUCGAACGAACUCUUCGGAGUUAGUGGCGGACGGGUGAGUAACACGUGGGAACGUGCCUUUUGGUUCGGAAUAACUCAGGGAAACUUGUGCUAAUACCGAAUGUGCCCUUCGGGGGAAAGAUUUAUCGCCAUUAGAGCGGCCCGCGUCUGAUUAGCUAGUUGGUGAGGUAACGGCUCACCAAGGCGACGAUCAGUAGCUGGUCUGAGAGGAUGACCAGCCACACUGGGACUGAGACACGGCCCAGACUCCUACGGGAGGCAGCAGUGGAGAAUCGUGCGCAAUGGGCGAAAGCCUGACGCAGCCAUGCCGCGUGAAUGAUGAAAGUCUUAAGAUUGUAAAAUUCUUUCACCGGGGACGAUAAUGACGGUACCCAAAGAAGAAGCCCCGGCUAACUUCGUG